GAUGAACGCUGGCGGCGUGCCUAAUACAUGCAAGUCGAGCGAACGGACGAGAAGCUUGCUUCUCUGAUGUUAGCGGCGGACGGGUGAGUAACACGUGGAUAACCUACCUAUAAGACUGGGAUAACUUCGGGAAACCGUAGCUAAUACCGGAUAAUAUUUUGAACCGCAUGGUUCAAAAGUGAAAGACGGUCUUGCUGUCACUUAUAGAUGGAUCCGCGCUGCAUUAGCUAGUUGGUAAGGUAACGGCUUACCAAGGCAACGAUGCAUAGCCGACCUGAGAGGGUGAUCGGCCACACUGGAACUGGGACACGGUCCAGACUCCUACGGGAGGCAGCAGUAGGGAAUCUUCCGCAAUGGGCGAAAGCCUGACGGGGCAACGCCGCGUGAGUGAUGAAGGUCUUCGGAUCGUAAAACUCUGUUAUUAGGGAAGAACAUAUGUGUAAGUAACUGUGCACAUCUUGACGGUACCUAAUCAGAAAGCCACGGCUAACUACGUG
rnacentral:rRNA from 1 species